CUAAUUCUUAUAUACACUCAAGUCUCAUAUUAUUUUUCAGAACACGGGCGUUACAGGUUCCUCCUGAUGCGACUGAGAAUCACUAACAUGCUCGACCGUAAUACUCUGGUCCACACUUGUGUCGCUACCCGAGGCAACACCACGCCCCAUACGGCGACCACUCCCACGACCCCGACCACGACCGCGACCGCCAUCUCCACCUCUAACCAUCUACAACACAACAGAAGGCUAAGAAAACCAAAUAAACAUCACCAAAACACACAACUUACCGUGGAAUCUCAUUGAAAGCUCGAGAGGAUGAUCUAGGUCUUCAUGCUCACACAAUUGAUUAAACACCCAAAUCAAUCAGUAUGCAAUCCACAUCAUCAUUUCUCAUCAACGAAAUUCACACAUCACAUUAAAAAUCAACCAUUUAUUCCCGCCCUAGAACCGUAAGGGCUGUGAUACCAAAUUGAAAGAACCCGUCCCUUUUUAAAAAAAAAAACAUGCAGACCUGAUUAACCGAACCAAUUGUAAACCAGCCCUAAAUCAAUUCAAAUCAAUUACACCACACAAAACAUAACCAGCAGAAGACUUAAGCACAAUUUCAUUAAAAUAAUUCCCUUAAACCAGCAAGUUCAAGAAAACAUUAUUCCGGAAACAUAAACACCUACAUGUUUCUAAAUUCCGUUCUAACACCCUAACAAAUCCAACGAUAAUCUAAAACACCAGUGAGCGCCUAGAUCAUCCUCUUGUCCUCGUCAUGAUUCCACGGAUCACACUUUAGCUUUACCUCUAUCACAGAAAAGAGAUGCAUAAGUAUUUCAUAAAUACUUAGUGAGAAUCAUCCCACUACUGGCUAUACAAACAAGCAGUAGUGAACACAUUCAAGUAUUAACUCAAAUUUGUUUUACAUAUGUUGCAAUUUGAAUUUUUCUAAACGGACAUAUAUUACUCGAUUAACAAAAAAAAUGUAUGUAUAACGUCCCACAUCUGCUAAAAUAUUUUUGACAAUACAGUUCAAAUCAUUAGAAAUAAUACCAACAUGCUUCAAACUACGAUAGAGCAGUAAACUUGACUUACCCCGCAUCCAAAUUUAAAACUUUUAUUUAAUAUAAUCCGGUUUUAAGUUUGAACAAAGUAAAACUUUUAAAUAGCUUCAAAAUAUUAUAACAGUUAAAAAUUUAAAAGGUUCAUAUAUACUAAUUAUUAAAACUUUUAAAUGGUUCAAAUAUAAUAAAUAUAUAAAAUAAUUUAUAAUUUUGCAACGGGUCAUAAUAUAUAUUACAUUAUUAAUAAUUUUGCAACGGGUCAGAUCAUGAUACACACCACUUAAGUUUUACAGCCAAAUACUUUGUAAUACCAAAUCUAACAUAAAUAUAAUUUUUAAUUAUAUAGAAAGAAUAUUCUUUCCCAAAAUAAGGAAUAUUCCUUCCAAAAAAUUUCCUCCCAAAAAUUUCCUGCCAAAAAUAUUUCCGGAAAACUUUUUUCCCGAGAAAGGUUUCCCACCAAAUUUUCUUAAAGGGUUUACAAGGAUUUUUAAAUGAUAUUUUAAAGGUCUUACAAGGGUUAUUAAAGGGAUUAACAAGAGUUUUUAAAUGGUUUUUAAAAAAAUUGUAAUGGUUUUUAUGGAGUUUUAGAGGCUUACAAAGGUUAUUGAAUAGUUUUUAAAUGAUUUACAAUGGUUUUUAAAAAAUUUUAUAAGUUUAUAACAGUUUUAAAAAGAUUUACAAGGAUUUUUAAAAGAUUUUAAAUUUUUACAAGGAUUUUAAAGGGUUUUAAAAGGAUUUACAAGUGUUUUUAAAAGGAUUUACAUUUUUUUUAAAGCAUACAAGGAUUUAAAAAUGGUUUUACAAGGAUUUUGAAAGAUAUUUCCAAAGAUUUAAAAAUAGUUUCAAAGGAUUUACAAGGUGUUUAAAGGGUUUUAAAAGUUUACAAAGGUUUUUAAAGGGUUUACAAAAACUUUUAAAGGUAUUACAAGUUUUUAAAAAUGGUUUUUAAGGAUUUACAAGGGUUUUUAAAGGGUUUUAGAAGUUUACGAAAUUUUUUAUUAAAGGUUUUAUCACGGUUAUAAGGGGUUGUAUAUAAAUGUUAUAAAAUGAUUUACAAUGGUUUUAAAAGGUUUACUCAAGUUUUGAAAGGUUUUAGAUGACUUUUAAAAGAUUUACGAGGGUUUUUAAAGGAUUUGUUUAAGGGUUUUAAAAAUAUUUACAAGGUUUUUUAAGGAAUUGCGAAAACAUUUUUGCUGAAAUUUUUUGGCGGAAAAGUUUUUGUUAGAAAAUUUUUAGGCGGAACCUUUUUUUUGCGGAAAAAUUUUGUCGGAAAUUUAUGGCGGGAAAUUUUUCGGAAGGAAUAUUCUUUUUGCUGAAAAGAAUAUUCUUUUUGCUAGAAAGAAUAUUCCUUUCUGAAUUAUAAUAAAGAAUGGUAAUUUAGUCAUUUUGUAUAUUGAAGAGGGUAUUUUUGAAAGUAGACACCUAAAGAGUGUAUUUGUAGAAAAAGGUAUUGGUAUAUCAUAGUUUUUACGUGUUUUUGCCACGAUAUAAGUCUUAUUUAUAGAGCUUUUAUAGUGUUUUCGAGUUUUUUGUAGUCAUUUCAGGAUUAGGAGCAUAUGGGAGCAUUUGGAGAAGAUGUGCCGAAAGAAGAUACCGGGAGAACAUAUUUGGUGUGAGUGUCGAGCGUCACAACUUCUGGUGUCGAUCGACACCAAUAUCUGACGGCAAUUGAAUUUCACGCUUAAUUGAAGUUCAGAAGAUUUGCAGAUUCGGUUCAGAAGUUUCCAUUAUUUGCAAUUAAGCCCAGUUCGUGGUUAAGACAUAUAUAUAUUGAGUUUUAGGGUUUUGUUAAGAAAAAGCUUUAUUUUGGGGAGAGAGAGAUUUGUAGAGAGCUGGGAGAGAAGAAUCAAAACCUCCUUUAGAGAAGAUUCAGAACUCCUUUACUUCUUCUAUUACUUUCUUUUAAUGAUAUCUAUUUUAUUCAUGAUGUUUGAUUCAAUCACCAUGUCUGAGUAGAUCUCUUGUUAGGUUUAGGGUUUUCAAAGGAAUUCAUGAGUUGUUAGGUUGUUAGAUUGUUAGGAUUGAAUUAAUAGAGUUCUUCAUCUAGAUUGUGGUUAAUUUGUUCUAGAGUAGUGAAAGCAACCUAGAAUCUGAUCUUAGGUGAAUUGGUAGACACGAAAGUGUUAUUGAUUUCCUGAAAAUAAUCUAGAUGAGCAAAAUACCUACUCGCAAAGAGAUUUGGUUUAGGGAUUUUGUGAACUUAACAAACCUGAAUUAAAUGCAUGUCUUAGACUUAUAAAUUUGCAAAGAGAUUUGGAAUUUAGGAUUCUAGACAUAGAUAGUCUUUGCAACGAAAGUUGAUUGAUUAUAUUUUUGCGAUUUGAGUUCAAGAACAGUGCUUUAUAAAUCCUGAAAAUUAUUUAUUUGCAAUUCUGAAUUUCCGGAGAAUAUCCCUAGGUCUAGCUUUUCCUCAUUAUUGUUUUAUAACCAAUUUUUAAUUUAAUUUGCUGUUUUUAUUUGAUUUAAAACCUGCUUACUUACAAUAAUUUAAUACCAAAUAUCUAUUGUGUAAUUGUUGAGUCUCUGUGGAUUCGAUCCCUAAGUACUAUCGUGAUCUCUUAAUUGAGAGAGUAGCUCAGGACAAAUUUGAGCUGAUCAAAUUUUGGCGCCGCUGCCGGGGACUCAAUUUUGAUUACCAUUAGAUAAAGGUUAAAAGUUUAGUGUAAGUUUUUAUUUUAUUUUGUUACUUACGCUUUUCUUUUCUCUUUUCUUUUUGGUGUUUCAGGUUUAUGCCUAAUACCAGAAGCAAGAACACAGAGCUAGUUGAUCUCAACAAUCAAGAACUAGCGGGUUUAAAAAGAGAGAAUCGAAAAGCUCAGAAACAGGCAGCAAUGGUUGCGCCAGUGAUUUUGAUUCAAGAUGCUGAGAGUACUCUUAGAGAUGGAGAUGGACAUCUGAGGAAUGCACAAGGGCAGAAGCUGAAUGCUGACGGGACUGUGAUUCCUGAGCCAGUCGUCGGUGUCGAGCGACACCAACUGGGUGUCGAUCGACACCAAGCCGCAGCACACAACAAUCAGUUAGCGUUGCAUGCUGAAGUAGAGGAUGAAAACGUACACUUGGAGAAUACAACAGGCAUGCACUGUUUUAUUCUAACCGCUCUGCUAUACGUCCUCCUGCAUUUCAGAGGAACAACUUUGAGCUGAAGCCUGGAUACUACACUCUUGUAGGACAACACCCGUUCCAUGGCCAUACUUAUGAGCAUCCAAUGGACCAUAUUGAGAAGUUUGAGGAUCUGGUAUCUAGCAUCAAGGCUGAUGGUGUAUCUUCCGAUUUUCUGCUCUGCAAGCUUUUCCAGCACUCUUUAGCUGGAGAAGCACUAUCUUGGCUGAAGGAGUUGAAGCCUGGAUCUCUUACGUGUUGGAAGGAUGUAAAAGAUGAGUUCUUAAACAACUUUUACGAUGAUGCGAGGUCGGAGGAGUUGCAGAAAAAGAUUUCUACCUUUUCUCAAGGGAUCUCAGAGGCUUCCAAGGCUGCUUGGGUGCAUUUUAAGGGUUAUCAGAGAGAUUGUCCACCCCACGGGUAUGACAAAUUUAAGCUUUUGGGCAUUUUCUACAGAGGAUUGGAUUGGAGGUACCAGAUGGCUUUGGAUGCUGCUAGCAACGGUAACUACAACACAAGGUCUCCAGCUCAAGCCACCGAACUGAUUAAGAACUUAGCUUCCAGCAACAGUACUAAAGUCGCUGAUUUUGUGAGGAAGAAGCUAGCUCAAAACAUGGAUGGUGUUCAACUCGCUGACGUUAAGGCAAAGCUCGAUUCAGUGCAUAACCUUCUUGUUACUAAGAAGAGUGUUAAGUUUGCUGCUAAGGUUGAGGCUUUUGAAUCAUAUGAGGAUGAAAAAGAAGACGUGAACUACGUCAAUGGUGCUGGGUAUCAAGGUCAGAAGUUUGGUAACACACAGGGUAACCGGUACAACAUUGGGUAUGGUCAGAAAGGCACCUGCAGUUUCGUCAGAACCUAUGGAAAUUCGUCUUACCAGUCACCUCCCUCUCCAUCUGCAGAUACUGAGAUGAAGUCAAUGCUAGAUCAGAUUCUAGCGUGUCAGCAGAACAUGACAGUGGACUUCAACGGGAAGAUGGAUGCCAUGUACACUGACUUGAAUGGCAAAAUCGAAGCUUUGACCACUUAUAACAAUAAGUUAGAAACUCUUGCUGCACGGACUACUGGAUCUGUGAAGAAACGAGAAGGGUGUAAUGCCAUUUUGAUUAGAGAUGGAGAUAAUGUGUGGGAGGAGAAAACAAGUGAAGAUGAUGAAACUGCACUUGCACAGCAAGUGUCGCUCGACACCAUCUCACGGUGUUGAUCGACACUAACACCAGUUCUUGUGGAUUCGGCUCCUGACGGACCAAUAUCGAUCGCGAUCGACACCACCAUAUCGACGAUUGUUGAUCGACACCUUCCCAGUUUUGAUCGACACCCCUCACAAACACAACCGGUUUUUCCCGAAACUCCGCGACCAUCUACAGAAAAGAUCUACAAGUCUAAGGUUCCUUUUCCAAAGCCUAGGAAGUAUAAACAGGAGAUAGAAGAAGCUCGAUGCAAGGCAAUGAUGGAAAAGGUGGUUAAUGAGAUACCUCUAGAUCAUUCUUGAUCACGAUUCACCUAUGCUUAAGCGGUGUGUUAAGAGGAUGGUCCAAAAUGACGUGAGCCCUGAGGAACGAGCUUUGCUGGCUAGAGACAUGGGUGCUAUCUUCUUGAAACAGACCCCACAUAGUAAGAAAGAAAAAAAGAAGAAAGUGUUUGUUUCUGAAAAAUUUAGUGCCAUGAUUCAGAGCAGGAUUCCAGAGAAGUUACCUGAUCCAGGAAGUUUCGUGCUUGACUGCUCUAUCGUCACAGAUAGAUUUCCUCACUCUCUUUGUGAUCUUGGUUCAGGUAUCAACUUGAUACCAUACUAUGUUGCUGUGAGACUUGGGAUGACAGAUUUCAAGCCGACUAGGAUCUCUCUUAUCCUAGCUGGUAGGUCCAAAAGAAUUCCCGAAGGUGUUUUAGAGGAUGUCCUAAUAAGGAUUGGUGAAUGCAUGAUUCCUAUAGACUUUGUGGUUUUGAAGUAUAGCAAGAACCUCAGGAUCCUCUUAUCCUUGGGAGAUCUUUCUUGGCUACCGCUGGUGCUCUUAUAGAUGUUCAGAAAGGAACGGUUGGACUUCAUGUGGGUGAUUUGGUUAUGAACUUUGAUAUGGACAAGUUGAGGCGAACGCCUACUAUUGAUGGCUAGACUUUUUCUGUAGAGGAAGCCAUGGAUGAGAAGGCAGUCAAAAAGUAUUCGGAAGAUAUUACUGCUCAAGACCAGAGCAAGGUUCUAUCAAUUGAUAAGUUGCUGGAGGAUGAUGAUUUUGUGCUAGCGAUGAGGAUCGCCGAGACGAAUUGCAGAAAAAGUGCAGAAACACGAGCAGCAGGCUCAGUGUCGAUCGACACCACCAGUGUGUCGAUCGACACCCCUCGUCACGACAGUCGAAACUUGCCAAAAACAAAUGGUUUUCGGGUUGAUCUUACUGCUGCAAGCUUGAGCCCUGUUCUGAAUCGGAAAGCUUCACCACCCAUAUUCCAGAGACCUCGAGAAAACCAAAGGUACGCAACUUCUUUCCCCAAACCUUCUCAUAUCAUCAAUAAGAAUUCCAAAGGUACAAAGACUGUUUUGCAGUUAACCAAGCCACGACAUUAUCGUAGAGCGCUUGUUGGUUCUUUUGAUGAUGUUGCAGGUAAAAGAAGUGUCCCACCCAUACCUAGCUCUUGUCCUGCUGGUGCUCCUCGUGUACUUGGUCGAUCUCAUACACCUAAUGCUUAUACACCACCUUGGAUGAUGAGACACUAUUCUCGGAGGUAUUUACUGCCGCUUCCCGACCCACCGAACGCAUGAGCCCCGAAAAAGUCAAGCUAAUGACUAAAAACAAGCGCUUAGUGGGAGGCAACCCACUUGUGAGUUUUUCUACUUCUUUUGCAUUUUUCUUAGUUUUUUUUCUUUUAUUUGCCAUUCUUAGGCUUGGCAACACUAGGGACAAUGUUGUUUAAGUCUGGGGGAGGUAGUUACUAACAUUGUUUAUUCUUUUGGAGUUUUAUCGAGUUUGUCCAAAAAAUUUUUUUUUUUUUUUUGUGUUUUAUUGAGUCAAAAUUUUUGUAGGGAACAAUGAACUUAUUCUAAUGGUUUCUCUGAUUUGGAUUAACACUCUUAUGAUUACAUUUUUAUGCUUGAUCUCAGAACCGAAGUUUGGAACGACUAUGAGCUGUAUCAACAAUCCUGAAAGCCCUUAUUCAUUGGAUAUCCAGUUGAUCUAACGUUGUCUCUACUUUUAUCAGGACUUAAUUGGACUUAGUCUCUUACCUUGGGAGUUGGAAUAAAUUGGACUAGACUUCUUCUACGAGCCGCACAAGACACUGCAGUUCUUCAAAGUAUGAUUCCUUCCUUCUCUCUUCCCUUCAGCCUUUAAAAGAAAUUGUGGAAAAGGCUAUAGGUAGAAGUGAUAUGAGGGAUGUCGCGUAAACCGUGCAUACUUCGGAUCUCAUGGAUACCCGAAUAAGAAAAAAGAGUGCUAUAAAAAAAAUCAGAAAAGAAAGAAAAAAAAAAGAGAAAGAAGAAAAAGGAAUCGUUGAAAAAAUAAAAUGAUACCCUAGAAAAGUAGGGAGAUGUCGAUUACCUUAGAUGUGGGAAAAGGGAGAAGAAGUGAAAUCAUACGAAGAAUGUCUUGGUUUGAGAAGAGUCCAUAUGCCAUUGAUCGAUAUUCACUCGGUAAGAAUUCAUCUUUACUUGUUUUAAAUUAUGUACAGAGACGACAAUGGAGAUACUGGAGAUUCCUGAGGAUUGUGGGAUUAGAGUAAGGAAUGUUGAUGCUUCUCAUAGGCAAAGUACAUAAAUUAAGUUCUAGAGUCAAGGCGAUGAAGAGUGCAAAGAAGAAUUUCCUGUAGUUGAGUGAGUUCCCGCGUUUUCAAACUUCUUUCACAGGUUAAGUUUCUGUUUUGCUUGAGGGCAAGCAAAGGCUAAGUCUGGGGGAGUUGAUAUAUCAUGGAUUUUACGUGUUUUUGGCCACGAUAUAAGUCUUAUUUAUAGAGCUUUUAUAGUGUUUUCGAGUCUUUUGUAGUCAUUUCAGGAUUAGGAGCUAUUUGGCAUGGAUUGGAGCAAAUGGGAGCAUUUGGAGAAGAUGUGCCAAAAGAAGAUACCGGGAGAGCAUAUUUGGUGUGAGGGUCGAGCAUCACAACUUCUGGUGUCGAUCGACACCAAUAUCUGAUGGCAAUUGGAUUUCACGCUUAAUUGAAGUUCAGAAGAUUUGCAGAUUCGGCCCAGAAGUUUCCCUUAUUUGCAAUUAAGCCCAGUUCGUGGUUAAGACAUAUAUAUUAAGUUUAGGGUUUUGUUAAGAAAAAGCUUUAUUUUGGGGAGAGAGAGAUUUGUAGAGAGCUGGGAGAGAAGAAUCAAAACCUCCUUCAGAGAAGAUUCAGAACUCUUUUACUUCUUCUAUUACUUUCUUUUAAUGAUAUUUAUUUUAUUCAUGAUGUUUGAUUCAAUCACCAUGUCUGAGUAGAUCUCUUGUUAGGUUUAGGGUUUUCAAAGGAAUUCAUGAGUUGUUAGGUUGUUAGAUUGUUAGGAUUGAAUCAAUAGAGUUCUUCAUCUAGAUUGUGGUUAAUUUGUUCUAGAGUAGUGAAAGCAACCUAGAAUAUGAUCUUCGGUGAAUUGGUAGACACGAAAGUGUUAUUGAUUUCCUGAAAAUAACCUAGAUGAGCAAAAUACCUACUCGCAAAGAGAUUUGGUUUAGGGAUUUUGUGAACUUAACAAACCUGAAUUAAACGCAUGUCUUAAACUUAUAAAUUUGCAAAGAGAUUUGGAAUUUAGGGUUCUAGAUAUAGAUAGUCUUUGCAACGAAAGUUGAUUGAUUAUAUUUCUGCGAUUUAAGUUCAAGAACAGUGCUUUAUAAAUCCUGACAAUUAUUUAUUUGCAAUUCUGAAUUUCCUGAGAAUGUCCCUAGGUCUAGCGUUUCCUCAUUAUUGUUUUAUAACCAAUCUUUAAUUUAAUUUGCUGUUUUUAUUUGAUUUAAAACCUGCUUGCUUAGCAUAAUUUUAUACCUAAUAUCUAUUGUGUAAUCGUUGAGUCUCUGUGGAUUCAAUCCAUAAGUACUACCGUGAUCUCUUAAUUGAGAGAGUAGCUCAGGACAAACUCAUAAACAUGGCAUAAGAGUUUAAGAGGGGACAUAAAAGAAUGAGGUCAGAAAUGCAAGAAUUUUGCAAGGUACCAAUCAAAAUCUUGCAGGUUUUGAGUAUUUUAAGCAGAAUCAUUCAAAGUAAAAUAAAAUUAGCAAAAGACUAAAUGUUCACAAAAGAAGAGAUUCAAUUUAAGCAUUCUUCCAUAUUUUCUUGCAAGGAAGAAAUAACAAGGAAAAACAAGACAAAUUUUAUCGUUCUGUAAUUCAUUUUCAGUGUCAUCCUACAACGUUCAUGUCUAAAUUUAACGACUUUUCGACAAGAAUGUAGCGGUAUAAAUUAAAGAAAAAGAUUUGUUACAAUUAUGGAAUUUUAGUAACGCUUUUUCUUAAUGAUUUUGUCAUUGUGUAAUUCACUUUCUACGGCAAUAAUAUAAAAAAUUGUUUGAAAAUUAAAAGAUUUUUAGUUGUUGACAUUUACCACAAAACAUUCACAAAAAUUCCAAACUUGAUUUAUAUGAGUUAAAUAUAAUUACAAUUUGAUUGAUUUUUGUGACAUAUUUUUUUAAUAUUAUUUUUAGAAUGUAAAUAUGAAAAAAUUGAAAUGUUAUUACUAAAAGUCUAGUGAACAACAUGCUUGUAAUAUAUAUAUAUAUAUAUAUAUAUAUAUAUAUAUAUAUAUAUCUUAUUAUAUAAAACUUGGUUUUCAAAGUUAGUCAUUAACAAGAUCGUGACAUGUGUUAAUUAUAAAUGAUAGGAUGUUGACACGUGCCGAUUCUGAUUUUGUUAAUGAUUAGAUAAAAAAUAUAUAGAAAUAUUCUUAAUCAUAUUGAAAAAGGAAAUUUAUAAAAUAUGUGUUAGAAACAGUUAUAUAUUCAACAUCUUUUGGAAAAUUAAACAAAUAACCUAAUUAAAGUUAUGUAAAUUUGAUUCAUUAAGAAGAUAGAGAUUUAAAAUUUACUAUUAAACGAGAUUAUAAAUCGGUUUAAUAAACUGAGAAGGAUUAAGGUGUAGAUUUUAAUUGUUAAGGUUUAGAUUUUAAUUUUACAAUUAAAAGUUAAAACAUGUUAUAUGUUGGUUUUGGUUUAUAAAUAAAAAUUAUAGUUUAGCUUUAUAAAAAAGAAUUAUGGUUUAGGCUUAACAAUUAAACGAGAUUGUAUAUAUAAUGAAGCUUGGUCUUUUGAAGUUACUAACUCACAUGAUCAUGAUAAGUGUCAAGUAAAACAUAAGAUGUCGCCACAUGCUAUAUUCAGUUUUGUUAAUAUUAAGAUAAAAAUAGUUGUUAAACACCAUAUUGAAAAAGAAAAGAGGGAAUAUCAAAAAAAUUCAUUUUCCAAUACCACUUUUUAAAAUUAUCCUUCUUUCUAAUUUUAUCAAAAAGUCACUAUCAAAUUUGAGAUUUAUCAAAAAAAUAUGUGUAAGCUUAUAUUUAUAGAUACAGAUUAUCUUUAUAUGUGUAUAAAUUUAUUUAUAUAUAUAUAUAUAUAUAUAUAUAUAUAUAAAUUUGAUAAAUACUAUAUAUACCUUUUAAAAACCUUUUAAAAAUCAUUUAAAAACUUUAUAAAAACUUCGUAAACCUUUUAAAAACCUUAUAAAUGCCAUUUAUAACCUUUUAAAACCAUAUAAAUAUUUGGAUUUAGUCUCUCAGUAGUAAUGAUGAUCUUGAUGUACCUUAUCAACCAUAUAAAAGUUUAUAAUUUUUCAUAUUUGAAAAUGGAUAGAAAGAGGGGUAUUUUUCAAAAGGGGUACACCAAAAGAGGUAUUUCUCAAAAAUUCUCAUUAAAAAUAAUUAUAUUUGAAAUUUUUAAUUAAAAAGUUCAUUAUUAACCUAAUUUUAGGUUAUGUCGGUUGGGAUUUAUCAAUGUUAUUAGGAUUUAUGAUUUAACAAGAUUAUAUGUUAGUUUUUGUUUAUAAAGGAAGAUUGAGACAUAUCUUUUACAAUUAUAUGGGUAAUAUGUUGGUUUAAGUUUAGAAAUGGGAAUUAUUUAGAUUUUAUAACUAAACUAGUAUUCCACCCGUACUGCGUACGGGAAAAACAAUGGAACGACAAUAGACCAUUUAAAUGAACUCAAUGAUACAAUGGAUUGUAAAAAGAACAAAAUAUGACGAAGUAAGUAGUAAUGUAAAGAUUAAGAGCCAAAACAAACAAAAGUAGGGCUGCCUUAUAAUUGUAUGCUUUAUUCAACGUUAGGUUGAGUACUUGUUAAUUAGUAAUUUAGUUUACUUGUUUUAUUGUCAUAUCAUGUGCUUGUUGAUCAAGCUGAGUAAUUUUUGUGAAGCAAAAUCUGUAAAACAAUAAUUCAAAAGAGUAAACAAAUGAGAGGCAAGUAGGCAAUACAUGCAUAUUGGUGCUACGUAUGCAGUAAUAAAAUUUACAACACCUUCGGCAAAAAGAAGUGGAACAAUAUAAGAAUGAUCUUCACGGUCAUCUCUUGCAACUCCUACAUGAAUUAUAAUGUUACAUGAAUUAGAUGUUAAAACAUUCUCGUCUGACAAAUAAAAUAAUUUUAUAGAAUUCUAGAAAGUACCUUCCUCUAUAAUAGAGACGAUGAAAGGCAUCAUCAUCUUAUGAAAUGAAUUAUAGAAGAAAAGAAGAGCUCACCGCGGUACAGUUUUGAACGACUAAAUGCUUUCUUCAGUUAAGAAUCUCAACUUCAAAGUUUUAUCACAAAGAACCUGAUCAGAAAGAAAAGAAAAAUCAAUCUAUAGUUUCUUCACCACUUCAAUGAUUAUAGAGAAAAUGCAAUUAGUGACACUUUUAAUUAAGGAACAGAUUCAUAUAUCUAGAUGACUAUGAGUAAGGCAAUAACAUUUUCUAGAGUACUAUGAGUCUAUGAAAUUACACAUGUUUGAUGUAAAUAGGAUCAGAGACAACGAAACUAAUAUAAAAGAGAAAGAGAAGUGCAAAUAUCCCGAUGACAAAAGCACAAUCGUUGCUUUGGGAACCGAGCUUUUCUCUCGCUUGCGAACAACUCUCCAAAUCUAGUUUUUCUUUUUUUUCUCGAUCUGCUCUUCAUAGUUGGUCACAGUCAAUCGAAAGUAAUCCAUGGUGAGUAGCUCCUCUUCUCUGUCAACGGUGGUGUGGUCUCUUCACCGAUGUGGGUGUGGCGAUGGAUGUGCGGUGGUAAAUCUCCUCAGCGCAUGUUCUCGUUUUGAAGACGGCGGGAAGCUUUGGAGAUUUAUUGGUUCAGCCGUUCUCUCCGGCAGCUGCGUCUACGGCGGAAGUUGGUGAAAGAGUAGGUGGGUUCGUUGUUAGACGAGGUGGUUAACGGUAGAUCUGUUAGAUCUUAGAUGGCAGAGGUGGAGUUUUUGGUUUCUUUCGGCGUGCUUGAGCCACCGUCGCUUGAAGCCGCCAUCUCUUAGCAUCCUCCCGUCCAGAUCGAGGAGGAGCUACUCGGAUUCUUGAAGAGAUCCGGUUAAGGAGGAAGAAGGAUAGAUCUGAGAGUGUUGAGUUGCUAGGUCAGGACUUGACACCGCGGAACCGUGUUGUCGGGGUGACUAGCUUUCCGGGAGGUUUGUAGCGGGUCAGGUGCGGUGGAGGAAAGGAGCCGCCGGCGAAAACCGGUCUCUUUCAACAGUGGUUUUCAAUCCUUCAUCGUGGCCGCAAAGCUGUGGAUCUUGAGCCCGCCGGAUCUAAUGCUCCGGUCACUCUGCCUCCGGCGAGCAGCAGGGUCCGAGUUCUUUUUCUUUUUCUGGUAAUCUAGGGUUUCCUUUGCUAAUGGGUUUAUUUCGUGUAAGGCUUGGCCCAGCCCAUUUGGGAAGUUUCGAAUUAUUAAUAAAAUUAUAUUAAAAAAAAAAAAAAAAAAAAUAUCCCGAUGACAGUAAGAAAGUCAUGAAUUAUAUGAAAAAAUAGAAUGAGGAAAAGUGCUGACGCAGAGUAAGAGAAAGUAAAGAAUGAUUAAAAUUGAGUUUACCGUGUUGAUUAAAUGGAAGAUGAAACAGUUUGAAUAGUGAGAUGGUUUUACAAAUUUGUGUCAUCGUGAGAUCAAAACGUGGUGUUGGUGUAAGAAGUAUAAUGCGCAAGUGCUUGGCAAGAGAAUGAAUUUUAUAAUUAUAAUCACACUAACGUUUAUGUACCUUAGAAUUGCUUCAAUACGUAGAACUACAGAUCUUUUGAAUGAAAAUUUCAUGUUCCGGAUAAGUUUUGAUCUUCCAUUUAAAUAUGAAGAUUAUACUCCAGAAGUAUUUUCCACCUGAAUAUAAAUCAGAAUCAAUAUGAAUUCAAGAGAAAAUGUAUAGCUAUGAACAAAAACUAAAAGAUUUACCUGCCCGAAAAUUGUGAAUUGUAACUGUAGUUUAUAACAGAAGAAAAACAAAAU
rnacentral:lncRNA from 1 species